rnacentral:lncRNA from 1 species
GAAGACAUGAGUUCGAUCCCUGGCCUUGCUCACUGGAUUAAGGAACCAGCAUUGCUGUUGCUGUGAACUAUGGUGUAGGCUGCCAGCAACUCAGACCUGGUGUUGCUGUGGCUGUGGUGUAGGCCGGAAGCUGUAGCUCCGAUUUGACCCCUAGCCUGGGAAUGUCCAUAUGCCACACCCGUGCUCCUUAAAAAAAAAAAAAAAAAAAAAAAAAAAAAAAAGGAACGAAAAAAAUAGUCAUGUCGUGUCUAGCUAUUGACAAAGUAGAACAGAAAUCUGUAUAAUUGUGGACUAUUAGAUUGCAAAGUGGCUCACGACAGUGUAAAAAUCUGUGCUUUCCAAUUCUGUUCUGUGACUUUGCAGAUGAGCCUCAAGGUCAACCUUCAUGGAGCAAGAGCCACCAAGUCGGGAGGGGUCACCAGGCGCUGCCCCUGCCGCAACCAGAGUAUCUCGGUUUUGGUUAAGAUUCUGUUGGAACAGAGAAGAAUUUUAAAGUUCUGGUUCCGAGUGUUUUAAAAUUCCUGAUCAUUUCCCUACAUUUUAUAGGUGAGAAAACAGACCUGAGAAGCAGUGUCUUUGCUCAGUCUCUCCACGUGUUUGUGGCAUGUUCCUCAGCUUGGAACCCCCCUGGGUCCUGGCCUGGUGAGCAUUCCUCCCCAGCUCCCCGACACCUGCUUUCGGUACAGGAAACUUGUCAGGGGUGCACCAACUGUGUUCCGUGUGGUCACAUGACCUGGGUCAGUCUCACGCCAGCCGUUCCCUGGAAGUCACCCGGGGUAGACCGAGUAUCCCCUUUGCACGUGGGGCUGUGCCGACGGAGGCCUUCUUCAGCAUGAGUCCUCAGUUGACUGAUGAAUACAAAACACCUCUGGGAACAAAAGGCAUUCAAGAUUCGCUGAAGACAAGACAACCUACUUUGGUUUCUGUGUCUGGUACCGGGGUAUCAGCGGAGAUAAAGCCCUGAGUGACAGGGAAGCGAAAUACAGAAUAACACCCUCUAUUGUUCUCCCAUUGACGGUACGUAUAAUGGGAAAGUUAGCGAGUCACCGUAAUGUCAUGGACCGCUGUGAACUUGGGAGAACUCAAGGAUCAGAAAGUAACAUGAAACAAGGAGGGAAAGCAAGAUAAUAUUGGGUUACUGAACAUUCUCAAAUUGUACUGAAACGCAUCCCAUCCCUUUGGAGGGGGCAUGUUUUUGACCAGGAAGACAAUGGGCAGAAACUGGCGGCUGUAAUGAUAUCACCAUUUUCUUUUGCUACGGGCCGUAAUGUGAACUCCUUAGAAGACACCUUCUUUCACCACAGCUUUGUUGUUGGGGCUAUUGAGGAGCCCAGAGACCAAAGUCGCUGCCUUGUUCCGGGAUCAUCUAAAACCAAGGAGGCUGG